CCAGCCCAGCUUGGCCCACGGCCCAGUGAGAGCCCGAGCUUAGACAGAGUCCAAGCACCGAGCGCCGGGCACCGGCUUUGUCCCUUAGCGGGGUAGAAGGGGAGGCUGGAACCAGUGACGGCGCCCGCGGAGGCGGCACAGUCCUCGUCCUCCCUCAGCAGCGUGCACAGAGUGAGCUGGUGCUGGCGGUUCAGCUUCUGAGCCUUCUCCCGGCAGCAGCUCGACGCCUUCUCCGCGGAGGGACGAGAAGCCGGGGCCAGCCAAGCGGGCGGCCGAGUGAGGACGGGGCCAGGCAGCGCGACGGCGCCUGGAGCGCCGGGGCUGCGGGAGGACUCACCCAGAGAAGCCGGGCGGCGGCGGUUGUGGCCUCGCGGGCGUGUCCCGCCUCCCGCCGGCCCGCACUGCCCAGCCCGCGGGAGUAGGAGGAGCCAUUUAUGCAUCUUUCUUAACACUGGGGAAACAAUUGAGGUUGUUUUUAAUGAUUAAGAUAAAUGUGGCGGGACAGAAUUUCUUAAAUUAAUACUUCCAUAAGUUGUUAAGCUGCCUUUUGUGUCUUAUUUUAUUUUUUGAAGUUGAGAUAAAGUUAGGGAAAACUCACUGGGGGAGUUAACGUACGCCAACUGGUUGAACACCGGCGUCGGGAGUAGGAGGU
rnacentral:lncRNA from 1 species